rnacentral:rRNA from 1 species
AGCGAACGCUGGCGGCAGGCUUAACACAUGCAAGUCGAGCGGGCAUCCUUGUGGUGUCAGCGGCAGACGGGUGAGUAACGCGUGGGAACGUGCCCUUCGGUUCGGAAUAACUCAGGGAAACUUGAGCUAAUACCGGAUACGUGCGAGAGCAGAAAGGUUUAUCUGCAGAAGGAUCGGCCCGCGUCUGAUUAGCUAGUUGGUGAGGUUAUGGCUCACCAAGGCGACGAUCAGUAGCUGGUCUGAGAGGAUGAUCAGCCACACUGGGACUGAGACACGGCCCAGACUCCUACGGGAGGCAGCAGUGGGGAAUAUUGGACAAUGGGGGCAACCCUGAUCCAGCCAUGCCGCGUGAGUGAUGACGGCCUUAGGGUUGUAAAGCUCUUUUCUCCGGGACGAUAAUGACGGUACCGGAGGAAUAAGCCCCGGCUAACUUCGUG